AAGUGCGAGAUGUUAUGAGAUUUUUUUCAUGGUUGGCCGUGAUGUUCAGUUGUUGUUGUUAUUGUUUUUGAUAUUUAUGAUGAUCUGAUGCUGAAGAUUAGCAGUGGUUAGUACUGUUGUUUUCUACCACAAUGCCUUAUAAUGAAGAGUGAUCAUAAGUUUAACAAAUAUACCGCGAAAUGGUGAUCCAAGGCAUGAAAAUCACUUCCAAAUGUGAUUUUGGGAAACUGUCGCAAUAUGUUUAAUGUAAAGCGAAUUGUUGCAUUGAAUGGCGGAGGGAGCAUGCAUGGAGGAGGCAACACAGCAUAGAGGGGGAUAUGUGCGUGUUUUUAUUUGGCAUUGUGUUUUUAUUUUUAAACAAACAAAAGUUGUUGCGGCGGCUGCUGCUGCUGCUACAAUCCAACAAAAUAAAUAAUAAAAACAAAAUAAAAAUAAAUGACAUGUUCUGCUCGAUUUACAACACUUUUCCAUGCCGCAACCAAAAUAAACAAAGCCAUGCCAUUGCCACCGCUGCCGCCGCCAGCCACAAACAUGAACAACAACAGGAGAGUCAUCAGCAGCAACUGGCAACCGACAAUCGGCAACAAACAAAGUGUGAACUGGAAAAAUUGCCGCCUUCUCAUUUGAUUUGAUUUUGACAACAGCGCCAACAGAGAAGCUACCAAUGAAGAACGUGAUCAGAACAACGACAAAAGUUGCAGUUGGUGACAAUAUUUUCUUUGAGUUAAGCAUGCUGUGGCAACAUUCAUUCCCCGCCUGCCAGGUCAGAGAGGCGGUAUUGCUGUUGGAUGUUGGGCCCGUUAUGUUAUUGAAGGCGUUAAGCAUCAUAAAUUUACAACAUUUUUUUUUAAAUAAACAAAAGCUACUCAUCAGCUGUCACAUCAAA
rnacentral:sRNA from 1 species